rnacentral:rRNA from 1 species
GACGAACGUUGGCGGCGUGCUUAAUACAUGCAAGUCCACUGAAGCAGUGGUAGCAAUAUCGCUGUGGAGGUGGCGCACGGGUGAGUAACACGUAGGUAAUCUGCCUUCAGGUCUGGCAUAACUCCGGGAAACCGGGGCUAAUAGCAGAUGAUGCAGCGGCUCGACAUCGAGACAGUUGUUAAAGCUAUGGCGCCUGAAGAUGAGCCUGCGUCUGAUUAGCUAGUUGGCGGGGUAACGGCCCACCAAGGCAACGAUCAGUAGCUGGUCUGAGAGGAUGAUCAGCCACAAUGGAACUGAGACACGGUCCAGACUCCGACGGGAGGCAGCAGUAAGGAAGAUUGCUCAAUGGGAGAAAUACUGAAGCAGCAACGCCGCGUGAGGGACGAAGGGCUUUUGCUUGUAAACCUCUGUAGUGAGAGAAAAAAAUCCCAAUCUUUGGGACAUGAUGGUAUCUCAAAAGUAAGCCCCGGCUAACUACGUG